CCCCUCAAGCGUAGCUUGGUAUUGGGCGUUCGCGGCUCUCCUUUUGGGGGGCGGUGUGCCCGAAAAGCAGUGGCGGUCCCCGGGGAUUCCGCGCGUAGUAAUUCAUUCCCGCGUUGGAACACCCGGUGGGUAGCGCCAAAAAACCCCCAUAAAUCUCCACAAUUGACCUCGGAUCAGGUAGGGAUACCCGCUGAACUUAA
rnacentral:misc_RNA from 1 species